rnacentral:rRNA from 1 species
GAUGAACGCUGGCAGAAUGCUUAACACAUGCAAGUCGAGGGGGAGGUGGUGCUUGCACCAUGGUAACCAUGGCGGACGGGUGAGUAACGCGUAAGGAACUUGCCUGCGGGACUGGGAUAACAGAAGGAAACUGCUGAUAAUACCGGAUAAGGUCAUUAAGCUGCAUAGCUUAGUGAUGAAAGGAGACGCCUGCGGAGAGCCUUGCGUCCUGUUAGCUAGUUGGAGGGGUAACGGCCCACCAAGGCGAAGAUAGGUAGCCGGCCUGAGAGGGUGGACGGCCACAAGGGGACUGAGAUACGGCACUUACUCCUACGGGAGGCAGCAGUGGGGAAUAUUGGACAAUGGGGGCAACACUGAUGCAGCAAUUCUGUGUGCACGAAGACGGUUUUCGGAUUGUAAAGUGCUUUCAGUAGGGAAGAAGGAAGUGACGGUACCUGCAGAAGAAGCGACGGCUAAAUACGUG